GAUGAACGCUGGCGGCGUGCCUAAUACAUGCAAGUCGAGCGAACAGACGCGGAGCUUGCUCCUCUGACGUUAGCGGCGGACGGGUGAGUAACACGUGGAUAACCUCCCUAUAAGACUGGGAUCACUUCGGGACACCGGAGCUAAUACCGGAUAAUAUCUUGAACCGCAUGGUUCAAUAGUGAAAGACGGUUUUGCUGUCACUUAUAGCUGGAUCCGCGCCGGAUUAGCUAGUUGGUAAGGUAACGGCUUACCACGGCAACGAUGCGUAGCCGACCGGAGAGGGGGAUAGGCCGCACUGGAAGUGGAACAGCGUCCAGACGCCUACGGGAGGCAGCAGUAGGGAAUCUGACGCAAUGGGGGGAAGCCUGACGGAGCAACGCCGCGUGAGAGAUGAAGGCCUUGGGAUCGGAAAAACCGGUUAUUAGGGAAGAACAAAUGUGUAAGUAACUAUGCACGUCUUGACGGUACCUAAUCAGAAAGCCACGGCUAACUACGUG
rnacentral:rRNA from 1 species